UAUACUUACAGAUUCAUAUUUGUUGCCAUAAAAUAGUUGGAUUAUUAUUCUGACUGCUCAUAUUUAACCCAUGUAAGGAAAUCUUAGCAAUACGAUAGUCAAAAUACAAGCACCUCUUCUACAAAAAUACUAACAAAACCUCUUACUUGACCAAUCAUAGGUUCUACUUUUAUUGUCCUGCAGCCCCUAUCAAAUAUUUUUCAAGUGUUAGCAAAAGAAAGGCCUUGUUGGAAGGAUUUGUUUGCCCUACUAUUCUGUGUAUUGCCAUGCGAAAAGCCAAGCAAGCCUCCCUGCCUUUCACCUGCCCAUUUAGCAAAGGACUUGAGUGACUGAUCUACAUCAGCUGCUGCAAGUAACAAGGCAGCCCUGGGGAGGAAACAAGCUGGCAUAUUCUAGUCAAUCUGCACAUGGUCAGGCCACCGGGACCUCUGUUAAGAAAGAAGACCCCCUGGCAACACCAGCUGAAUGAGCUCUCAGCAGAAAUAACAAGCAGUUCUGAUGGUACAACACUAUCUAAUUUUUAAGUUGACAAGACUGACCUUUCGCUCUUUAAAAAUGGCACUUUCUCAAGACCUAAAGUAAGCUGCAAGUGAAAACUGCCUUCUAACUUUGUCUUGAACAACAGAAAAUAACUGAUCUUCUUAAUUGUUCCAUCGUAUUUCCUUGCAUCUGGUAAAGCACAGUCAUAGCAAACUGAGUAUUUCAGGGGACUGUGAUUUGUAUAGUUAUCACACGAGUUUAAGACUGUUAAAUUCCUUUCUUAGCCUGCUCCAGUCUGAUAUUUGAGAAUCAUUCUGUUUGUUUUCAUCUCUCAGACUAGAAAGCAGUCCCACCCCAAGCAAGAUGUGCAUGGCCAACAGAGGAAUUGCAUUAUUCCAGUCGUUGGGGAGGCAGCACAAGACCUGGAAGCAUGGAUUUAAUUUUUAGCAGUCACACAGUCCCUGGAUGAUCCUGGGCAAGUUUUUCUCUGCAGAUUUGCUAAUAAUGUUAGAGUAUCUUGUGGUUUAAUUAUAUGAGAAAUAAAAUUAAAAAUGCCUAUUGCUCUAUGGCUGAG
rnacentral:lncRNA from 1 species